UAGGGUUUGAUCAUGGCUCAGAUUGAACGCUGGCGGUAUGCUUAACACAUGCAAGUCGAACGGAAACGAAACUAGCUUGCUAGUAGGCGUCGAGUGGCGGACGGGUGAGUAACGCGUAGGAAUCUGCCUGAUAGUGGGGGAUAGCCCGAAGAAAUUCGGAUUAAUACCGCAUAAUCUAUUCGUAGUAAAGUGGGGGACUUUCGAGCCUCACGCUAUCAGAUGAGCCUGCGUAAGAUUAGCUUGUUGGUAGGGUAAAAGCCUACCAAGGCAACGAUCUUUAGCUGGUCUGAGAGGAUGAUCAGCCACAUCGGGACUGAGACACGGCCCGAACUCCUACGGGAGGCAGCAGUGGGGAAUAUUGGACAAUGGGGGCAACCCUGAUCCAGCAAUACCGCGUGUGUGAAGAAGGCCCGAGGGUUGUAAAGCACUUUCAAUUGUGAAGAAAAGUUAGCGGUUAAUAACCGUUGACCUUGACGUUAACUAUAGAAGAAGCACCGGCUAACUCCGUGCCAGCAGCCGCGGUAAUACA
rnacentral:rRNA from 1 species